GCAGACGUGGUGCAUGGUGCGCUCCUUCAUUUCAUAUUGGGAUCACAGAGAAGUGUUGAAGGCUGUCGGGGUUCGACUCCCCGCGUCUGCA